UGCCAGCAGCCGCGGUAAUACGUAGGUGGCAAGCGUUGUUCGGAAUAACUGGGCGUAAAGGAUGCGUAGGCGGUUGAAUAAGUUAUGUGUUAAAUAUAUGGGCUUAACCCGUAGAAGGCAUAUAAGACUGUUUAACUAGAGUGCAGGAGAGGUAAGUGGAAUUCCUAGUGUAGCGGUGAAAUGCGUAGAGAUUAGGAAGAACACCAGUGGCGAAGGCGACUUACUGGACUGUAACUGACGCUGAGGCAUGAGAGCAUGGGGAGCAAACAGGAUUAGAUA
rnacentral:rRNA from 1 species